rnacentral:piRNA from 1 species
UUACGUUGUAAUGUCUAUGGGCUCCGGU